ensembl:lncRNA
AUAUCACAGUAAACAACGACUUGGAGGCAAGUCCACAGCCAUAAAUCAGCAUUUUUCUGAGUGCCGGGGAGGACGACAAACCUCUGUGUAAGAGCUCUGCACCACGAAUGGAAAUUACUCAGUGCUGACGCCUGAAAGGACACCAGCAGCCCUUGCGCUUUGUGCUGAAUUUUACUUCGAUUUCUACUUCAUCUACCAGGCUAAACCAGCAUUCAAAAAGGAUAGAUUAUGAAGAUACGUUCAGAAAAUGAGAAUUCUGCAAUCAUUAUUAUUAUAUAUUAUUCAUAUAAUGGCAACACCCUAAGUUGUCUCAGCACUGUGCAGAAAGAGAGGAAGAUAAAGCCUCCGGCCCAAAGAAACUUCUAAAUGAAUGGAAAUAAGGUUUGGAUCUGUGUGACUGUGUGUGUGUGUGCAUAUAAUUUUUAAGCAUUACUGAAGAAACUGUAGGGGGAAAAUUGAAUUAUACAUCAGCUUAUUCACCAACAGGAAAAAAAAAAUGGGCAAGCCUGCAUGCUCUUGAUAACAUUUUAAUAAUUUACAAACUCAAAUUUCACCCUGGGAGUGACUUUCAUGGGAAGUAAGAAAUCCUGUGACUGUAAACACAGCUGGAAGUCAGUGGAAAAUCGGGGCAGAAAAUCCCCUCUGCAUGGGGAAGGGGGACGGCUUGUGCUGGCUGUGGGGAUGGGUGCCCUGUAGGAAGGGAUGUUGGGAUGGAGCAAAGCAUCGGGGCCUUCAGCCCUAUGGUUACACUCCUGCUGCCACCUCCUGCCUGUUAUUUCUGUUCUCCUGGGGCAUGCACGUGCUCCACGUGCAAGGUGCAGAAGUUCCCUGCAAACACAAGGAUGAGGGUUGUUGCACCCCCAGCACUGCCCUCACCACCCUUGGCAAUGCUUCCAUGCGAUCACAGCUACUCUCUGUUUGCUUUCUAUUUCUUGGGCUGAAUCUCGGUGAUUUUGGAAGCCCAGCAGGCGGCACAGCCAGGAGUUGGGAUGCCAGGGGCAGAGUGUAUGGAAGCACCACCUGCUAGGUGGCACCAAGCUGCCCACGUCCUCCAGUAGGCACCUCCCCACCUCUCCUGCUGAGGGCAGGCAGCUGGUACUUCUGUUCAGGGAGCUCUGUUGGAAAAUGCCUCCUGUGAAAGCCACCUUGGCAGGGGAAGUUGGGCAGCUUCAUUCAGCUUCACAGAGUGCUUCUUUCUCCUUCCCCAUUCAUAUGGAUGCCAGACAAACUCACGGCCCUCUAUCCCCUCUGCUUAGUGUCCCCAUCAUGUCGCUGGGGCAGUUCCAGACAUGGAGCCUGCACAGGUUCUUGUUGAAUGCAAUGUGCUGUCCUACGCUCCUCACAGGGAAGCCAUGGCACAGCAUCCCUUGGCCAAGCUCUCCCACCCUGGCAUGGGGACUGCUGUAGAAGGAAGCAGAAGCAGAUCCAGCCUGAGAGGGCAGCAAGGCUGGAAUAUCGGCCAAGGAGAGCCACCUGCAGCUUCCACCUAACAGAGAGCGGCCACGUGCCGGGAGAAUUCAAGGUCACAGCCAACUCAGCUCUCUGCUUUGCUAACCGUGGAGCUCCCCUCAUUCAUUGGCAACGGCAUUAUUAGCAGUGUCCCUCAGAGCACUGUCGGAUGCUGGUAUCUCUUUCUGCCCUGUAGAAAGGCCGCUGGCUUUAUUCAUAGAUGAUGGCCCUGGUUGACAUUCCCCGUGCCUUCUGCUCCGGGAGCAGAGCAGGACCUGGGCUCUGGGAGCCACUAGGUGUCAGGGUUACUCUGCCACAGCCGCACUGCCUGCCAGAUGUGGCACAGCUGGCCCUGCGUGGGGGGAGACGGGUCCCCCAGGGUGCUGGAAGGCACAGCGGGAACCAAGGGAAAGCCCAGGGAAAAGUGGGAUGAAGAGCUUGUCCCCAUGCGGGACGGCAUGGAGCACUCCCUCCCUCCCUCUGGAAACAACAGGCGCAUCUGGUUUGUCCAAUGAACCAUUGGUGCUGGAGGAGCCCCACCUCAAAUGGUCAGAAGCUGGUUUCCCAGUCAGGGAAGUGCAUUCACAGCCAGGGUGGGUUUGGAUUAGCAGAUGGCCGUACAUCAAACCAUCACCCCAAUCCCCAUCUCGCCACUGCUGGGACUGUGAG